CUGUGCUAAGUGGGGAGUUAGCGGUGCCCUGAACCUGCAAUCCGCUAUAGCAGGACCGAACGUCUUUCCCGACGGCGCAAGUGGAAGGCCGCGUCUUAUAAGGGGUGUUGAUACCAAGGUCUUAUGCAACCGAACGCUGCGAACCGUGUCAGGAUAGGGAUAUAGCAGCACUAAACAGUUUCUUCGGUGUGCCAUAAGGUAGCUUUGGAGGAGCCACCUGUAAGAUUUACGCUUCGGCUUGUUCCGGCAAAAAAGACUGCACAG
rnacentral:SRP_RNA from 1 species